UUCGAGUCCGUGCUGAGGGCAGCCGGCAGCGCGCGCUGCCUGGUUUUACGCACCGGGUGGCUGAGCUUCAAACACUCUUUGUUCCGGCCCCAGCUGUUAGAGGUUGAUUUUAGCUGAGGCUGCUGUGCUGCUCUUCCAUUGGAGGUGGUUGACCCGCGCGCUUCAAGACCAGAGAUCUUCUUUCUCACCGCCACUUUUUAUCCAAAGUACCAAAAAGCUUCUCAGAGAUUAAACCACCUGGAUGAUCUGUUUUCUUACCAACAAAAUGUCUCAACUCCGCGGCGACACCAGGCCUCCGGGACGGACAGCAGCUGCCGCCAUGUUGCGCUUUGACCUGGAGGAGUUUGGAGAAGCUGCGCCGCUUUUACGCACGGCUGAGCUGGAGCGGCGGGAGGCGCGCGCUCCUUUUCCACGGUGAGAAUCAAACCUGUCUCUUUACUGAAACAGAAGAUUUCCAUGGGACCAGAAAUGAAAUGAACCAGCAGCGGACGACUCUGACAUCCAGCUCUGUUCAGGGCAGCAUCUCUGACGGUGUCCGCAUGGUUUCUGUGAGUGUGUCCAGGUGGUAAUACCCCCCACCCCCAGUGUGUCCAUGUUUCCUUCAGAGGCCGGAUGAAAUGACAGAGCUGAGCUGUGAGCUGGAGUCAUGUCCACCUGCAGGAUGGUCUGAUGUCUCCUCAGAUCCUCUGGACCAGUUGAAAGAAGCACCCCAGAGGAACUGAGGUGUCUCCUCGAAUAUGGACCAGGAGGAAGACAACAGAGAGGACACUGAGUGUCCAGGACCAGGACUGACCGUGGAGCAGUAAAGAUCCUUCUUUUGGACCACGGGCCCAGGAAGGAGGAGGUAAACGACAAGAACUGAGCUCAUGGACCCUUCAGGUGGUUUCAGCCUCCACCUCCUGAACCUCCAUCCUCCUAACCUGCACGCUGACCAGAACCAGAUCUGCCCCAUGAUGUUUCAGACUUUUCCCUCAAACCGUCUGAUCGAACAGACGAGUCUGAACUCCUGAGAAACAGAAAACAAGAAGACACUUCAAAACUGUCCCAAAGAGAAACUGGUGGAACGUUGGGUGGAUCGAGAACUUGCUGUGAAUGAAGCUCCUGCUGACGACGUUCUGCACAAAUCCCACCACGAGCUAAAGGAGCAGAAGAACAAGGACCUCUCUCUGCAGAUCCAACAGUUUUUAAAGCUGACGCUGGCAGGGUUAAGAUGAUGAAGCAGCUGUGAGAUGGAGGAACUGAGAAAUCACGAGGUGGGAGAGGUCCUGUCUGCCGAGAGGAACAUCAAGAGGUCAGCAUGGAGACAGGGUGGAUCCACAUCCUGCAGAGUCCCCCGCACGCUGAGCAGGAGAGAGACCAAGAUGGAGGACGUUUACCUGGACUCAGCUGGUGAGUCUUCAGGAGAAAGUUAGAGGGACGAGCACUGAAGACUUCCAACAAGAAGACCCUGGAGUAUUCAAACACCCUGGACCUCCAAAGUGCAGCUGAUUCCAGGAGACCCAACCACAAAUUAAAUGCAGGAGCUCCACGUCUCUGCGCCCGCAGACAUUUAUGACAUCACAGAUGAAACCAGUCAGGGAGCAGCUGGAGAAAGAAGAAGACAACCUGACACUGAAGGGCAGGAAGCUCCAGCAGGAGGUUGGUUUGGUGGAUCCAGAGAACGGAUCGGGUCAACAGUUCACCUGAAAACUGCUGCAGGAGGGAAGAACGUGACCUUUGAAUGAAAUCAGUAAAAUUAGCAGCACACCUCACAGGGACUAACUUUAGAAGCGUCUGGACGUAAUCCUCUGCUGGAAGUGGACUCGGCCACGUGACCUCUCAUGAGGUUCUGAAUCUGGCUCUGUUAUC